rnacentral:misc_RNA from 1 species
GAACUAUCAAAGCCACGUGUUUUCAAUUCGUUGCUUUGGACUUGGGGGCUGCAGGCUUUUCUUCAAAGGUCAGCUCCCCUGAAAUGCAUCAGUGGUAUCUGGAGCGGAAACCGCCAGGUGUGAUAACAUCAUCUAUGCCUUUGGUAUGCCGCGCAUUGUGCUGCUUCCAAUGUGCCCAUUCUUGACAA